rnacentral:lncRNA from 1 species
CAACUCAUCCCACAAUCUCUUUAGCUUAUUGAAGUAAGAUGCUAUAUCCAAAGAUCCUUGACUAGUAAAGGCUAACUCUUGCUUAAUCUCAAAUAUUUUGGUACCAUUGACAGUCCCAUACCUACUAUUAAGCUGAGUCCAAAUACUUUGAGCAGUGUCAAAAUAUUGAACACUCUCAGCUAUCUCUGGCUUAAGGGAAUUAGUGAGCCAAGAGAUAACCAUAUUAUUGCACCUAUCCCACUGCCUAAAAUGAGGGGAAUUUUCCGGCGGUUUGUGAACUGUUCCAUCAAUAAAACCUAUCUUAUUCCUAGCAGAUAGGGAGACAAUUAUAUUUCUCCUUCAUCCCCUAAAACCAGUCCCUGAAAAGGGAUUACUAACCAGAGAAAUUCCGGAACAUCAGAAGAUAGGAGAAACAAAGGGCUCGAGGGGUCAAGUACGAAAUUAGUAGUACCAGAAUCAGAGUUAUCACCAACAUUAACCAUUUUUGCAACUGAGAACCAUUACCGAGCCUGAAGCUUGACAAAGCCAAACCCUAAUUGUUGAUGGAUACACAAGUCCUUAGGAAUCGACUUAUUCCUAUCCCAAACCGAUGAAACCGACGAAGUAGAAACCUAAAAAAUCAACGAUUACAGAAGAAAACCCAGCAAAAUGAGAAAACCCUAGAUUUUUCGGAGAACAGAGAAACUCGGAUGAAAAUUGAUGAGGGUAAUAUCGCGAGAGAGCCGGUGAUGAGUAGAAUCAGAAUCGCUGCUCUGAUACCAUGUGAAAACAUUGAAUCCCAUGGAUUG